rnacentral:lncRNA from 1 species
AUGGGCACUCCAGGCUCCUUAGCGGUGGACCAAAGCUCCCAACAGUUCCUAGAGGUCCAGACCCGCACCAUAAUCAUGCUCCUCCAAACAUUCGAGGCUUGAGUGGAACUGGAAGGAUCCUCCAAGCAGUCCUUGGAGGCCUAAACCCAAUACAUAAUCAGGCUCCUCCAAACAUUGAAGACUUGAGUGGAACUGAAAAGAUCCUCCGU